rnacentral:rRNA from 1 species
AUUGAACGCUGGCGGCAUGCUUUACACAUGCAAGUCGAACGGUAACAGGCCGCAAGGUGCUGACGAGUGGCGAACGGGUGAGUAAUGCAUCGGAACGUGCCCAGUCGUGGGGGAUAACGCAGCGGAAGCUGCGCUAAUACCGCAUACGAUCUAUGGAUGAAAGCGGGGGACCGUAAGGCCUCGCGCGAUUGGAGCGGCCGAUGUCAGAUUAGGUAGUUGGUGGGGUAAAGGCUCACCAAGCCAACGAUCUGUAGCUGGUCUGAGAGGACGACCAGCCAAACUGGGACGGGGACACGGCCCAGACUCCGACGGGAGGCAGCAGUGGGGAAUUUUGGACAAUGGGCGCAAGCCUGAUCCAGCAAUGCCGCGUGCAGGAAGAAGGCCUUCGGGUUGUAAACUGCUUUUGUACGGAACGAAAAGGCUCUGGUUAAUACCUGGGGCUCAUGACGGUACCGUAAGAAUAAGCACCGGCUAACUACGUGCCAGCCGCCGCCGUAACAC